GGCAAUGAUUCCGGGAAAUGCAGGACAACUCAAGGAAUGUUAAUGAAGUCCGAAAAGGCCCUAGGCCAAAGUCCACCUCAAAGAAAUGUUAAUGAACAGCCCCCAGCAAAAAGGUGCUGACUCAGUCCUUCCUGACCAGAUUACUUCUUUGGCCCACCUGUGUCCCACCCCUCGGUCCUUCCCACCUACAUUCCAUCACUGAAAGAACUAUAAAAAGGGGAGACAACAUCCCUUCCAUGGAUUCCACUUCUUGGG
rnacentral:lncRNA from 1 species